rnacentral:rRNA from 1 species
UAUAGAGGGUGCGAGCGUUAAUCGGAAUUACUGGGCGUAAAGCGCGCGUAGGCGGCUUUGCAAGUCGGGUGUGAAAUCCCCAGGCUUAACCUGGGAACUGCAUUCGAGACUGCAUUGCUAGAGUAUGGGAGAGGGAAGUGGAAUUUCCGGUGUAGCGGUGAAAUGCGUAGAUAUUGGGAGGAACACCAGUGGCGAAGGCGGCUCACUGGACCGGUACUGACGCUGAGGCGCGAAAGCGUGGGGAGCAAACAGG